CUCCACAAUCCCUCCCCCUAUUUCUAAGGUACCCCCCCUCCCUUUCCGCGAGGAAGACGGGAGAAAAGACAGCAUCUGGCCCAAAGAGAAACGAAGACGCGCUUUAAACUCGAGCCAUCUCCCAACUCCGCAGCAGUCCGGUCCCCACGCGCUCUCCCCGGGGGCCUCGGGCUACAUUGAUCAGAAACUAUACCGGACUCGCGAAGCCCAAAACUUAUUGUGAGGCAGCCCAUCUUCUCCUCCCCUCGAUCAUCUUUUCCAUCCAGAUGCGAGUCGUGGGAGCCGAGAGCUCGGACGAGGGUGAGAUCGCCGCCUUCCCUCCGAUCCGAACGCGUGCGCCCCGCCGGCCCCCCGCUGGGUGCACACUCGCACGCACACCCUCGCACCCAUACCCGCACACGCGGGAGCACACGCACAGGUAGUCAGUCACACACACCAAGGGCAGCAGCGACGGCGGACGAAACAUGCUCCGAUGGCACUGCAACCCCCCCACCCCCGCCAUCCAACCUUGCAAUUCAUUUGCAGUCAGACCCCAAACCCUACACCUCCCCGGAGCCCCCACUCCAUAAAAAAGUGCCUUCCCCCCAAAACACACACGCACACAUAACACAAAGUAGGAGAAUGGACCGACAGAGAUAUUUUUGGCAAAUGCUCACAUCAGAGGGCGUCCUGUUCCGCAGCUCUAAAUAAAUCCGUUUGUCCAUCUCCAUCUCUCGCGCUCUCUCUUUCUGCAGAAGAUCCUGCGCCAGCGGAAUUCAAUCAAUAAACCCCGAACCCACGGCCGCGCGUUUUAGGACUUUGAAGGCUCAACCAGCUCCGCUCGGUUCUCGAGCCCCCAGCACCCGCGGCGCACACUAACCUGAUCGCCGUAGAGGCGGAACCUGCAGCUCCUGCGUAGAGCGGCGGCACCAGGAGCCAAUCGAGUGGCGAGGCUUCGGACGCCAGCCAAUGAUGGUGGUGGCGGCGGGGGGCAGGGUCCAAUGGGCGGCCUGCGCAGCGGGCCAGGGAGGCUCAGCCAUUUGGCUGUGGUGCCGGAGACGGACCCCUUUAGAUACCCGGGCCGCCGAAGAGGAGCGUGGCUGCACCUUGGUGGUUGCGCGCGGGGGGCGGGAGGGAAGGCAGGGCAGGUGCGUGGACCUGAAGGUUCGUGGCCGGGGGCGGGGCCGCAGGUGCGUGGACACGGGUGGGGCGGGGUCCCUGCGGGGGCAUCCUUUGGGUGCUGGGCGGGCGGACGAGGCCUGGAGCGCGCGGGCGCAAGGCAGGCCCCAAGGAGGGCGCGCAUUCUUGGGGCGCACGAAGGGCAAAUCCCACACAUACACACACACACACCCCGGGGUGCCCACCUUGGCACAACCCCUCAGACCCGGUCUACUUCCAUCCCCACAAUUAAAUAAUCAAGUCUCAGUGCAUGUCGCUCCCACCUCCAGAGGAACGAGGGCGGGAUCUCGACCUCAGAGGCUUGGCGUUCUCAUGUCCUGCCUUAAAAGAAGCCAUCCCCGGAGAGCCACCGGGGGAUCUUGUGUAGGGCAAUUAAUGAAUGGAAAGGCCGCAGAUGCAGGACUGUAUAAAAUAUUAAAAAGUGGAAAAAGGAAGGUGCUGGGAACUGCCGAUUCUCAGAACCGAACAUAAUUGUCGGGCUUUAUAGCUUUUUUUUUUUUGAGAGAGAGAGCGUUGCACGUUUCAUUCUAAUCGUCCACCAGAGUCGUUUGGUAGGAUCCGAGUUGCCAAGGAGUCGCUAACUGGGGCACUUCCUCUAGAUCUUCCAGUUGCUUUGGGUUUUGUUUUUGUUCGACCACGUUACGUUUUUUAAGAGACCUUUACAGUCCUGGUUCCCACUGGUUACCAGCUUCUAAUACUGGGCAGCCCUAGGACCUCUUGUACUACGUGGACGUCUGGCUGUGGACAAAUUAUGGGAUACAUGUUUAAUUUCAUCCACACAACUUUGUCAUAGUGUCUUUUUCUAUGUGUCUUCAUCUACACUCUUCCACAAACACUCCCAAAGUAAUUCUAUCUUUUUUUGAUACAUUAGAAUUGAGCAUUUUAUUUAGUUAGUUCUUUUAGAUCAAACAGUAAAUGGAUUCAAAAGCUGAUAAAUGUUUAUUCUAAGUAGCUGGAAUAAAAUAAACCCAUAUCAUCUGGGUAAAUAUGUAA